rnacentral:rRNA from 1 species
AGUGAACGCUGGCGGUAGGCCUAACACAUGCAAGUCGAACGGCAGCACAGUAAGAGCUUGCUCUUACGGGUGGCGAGUGGCGGACGGGCGAGGAAUACAUCGGAAUCUACUUUUUCGUGGGGGAUAACGUAGGGAAACUUACGCUAAUACCGCAUACGACCUACGGGUGAAAGCAGGGGAUCUUCGGACCUUGCGCGAUUGAAUUAGCCGAUGUCGGAUUAGCUAGUUGGCGGGGUAAAGGCCCACCAAGGCGACGAUCCGUAGCUGGUCUGAGAGGAUGAUCAGCCACACUGGAACUGAGACACGGUCCAGACUCCUACGGGAGGCAGCAGUGGGGAAUAUUGGACAAUGGGCGCAAGCCUGAUCCAGCCAUACCGCGUGGGUGAAGAAGGCCUUCGGGUUGUAAAGCCCUUUUGUUGGGAAAGAAAAGCAGCAGGUUAAUACCCCGCUGUUCUGACGGUACCCAAAGAAUAAGCACCGGCUAACUUCGUG